GUAUAACGACGUGCAACAUAACUGUAACCAUCUUUAGACCUAUGUUGAAGGUGAUUCCUUCUGUUUCGUGUUGACGACGUUCUACCUCUGCAACAGGAAAUCAAGUAACACCUACGGCCGAUCAUAUCCUUGAGAUGAGCGGUAAACGGCGAAAUUGUGUAGGGUGCUAUGAAAAACUGCGGGAAACCAUGAAGAGUUCCGAGGUGAAAAGGAUAGUAAAAAAAAUUAAAACAUACUGCAGAAUGUGCAAGCAAAAUCUUUGUGCGAAAUGUUUUAAAGACAGCCAUUAAUAAAUAAUUAAAUAAACAAUUUUUAUUUCUUUACUUUAA